GUUCGAAGGCACGAGGGAGCCAGGUAAUUGGCACCGGAGAGGACUCGGCCAGGAGGUCCCCGAGCCUGACGCAGCAGGAUGGAAUGACCCACGUGGAGGGCUAGAGGUCAAGAUGCUAUAAGAUGCCUCGGAGAGGUGAAGCCACACACUGAGGAGGAGGCUGGAAAGGGGCCGUGAGGACAGCCUCCGGAGCUUUCGAGGUGAGCCAGGCCGGUUGCGAGGAGGGUGUCGGGGCU